UACGUAGGCAGCGAGCGUUGUUCGGAGUUACUGGGCGUAAAGGGUGUGUAGGCGGUUGUUUAAGUUUGGUGUGAAAUCUCCCGGCUCAACUGGGAGGGUGCGCCGAAUACUGAAUGACUUCGAGUGCGGGAGAGGAAAGUGGAAUUCCUGGUGUAGCGGUGAAAUGCGUAGAUAUCAGGAGGAACACCGGUGGUGUAGACGGCUUUCUGGACCGUAACUGACGCUGAGACACGAAAGCGUGGGCAGCAAACAGG
rnacentral:rRNA from 1 species